rnacentral:rRNA from 1 species
NNAAUUAAAUGGCCGCAGUAUUUUGACUGUGCUAAGGUAGCAUAAUCAUUAGUUUUUUAAUUGAAAGCUGGAAUGAAGGGUUGGAUGAAAAAAAGACUAUUUUUAUUUAAUUAUAUUAAAAUUUUAUUUUUAAGUUAAAAAGCUUAAAUUUUAUUAAAAGACGAGAAGACCCUAUAGAGUUUAAUAUAAAUUAAUUUUAAUAAAAUUAGAAUUUAAUUUUUUAUUUUUAAUUUAUAUUUAAUUGGGGUGAUUGAAAAAUUUAUUUAACUUUUUUUUUAUUUUAAUAUAUAUAAAUAAUUAUUUGAUCCAAUAUUUUUGAUUAUAAGAUAAAAUUACCUUAGGGAUAACAGCGUAAUUUUAUUAGAGAGUUCAAAUCGAUAAUAAAGAUUGCGACCUCGAUGUUGGAUUAAAAUUUAUAGUUGGUGUAGAAGCUAAUUAAUUA